rnacentral:tRNA from 1 species
CAGUAGCUGAGUAGAUAACGCGUUGGCGUUUGAAGCAAAAGGUACUGCGUUCGAGUCCCAGAGUGAA